rnacentral:tRNA from 1 species
CCGGGUGGCUUAGCUGGUCAUAGCGCCGCACUCAUAAUGCGGAGGUCGAGGGUUCGAAGCCCUCCCCGGGCA